CCGUCGGGGGACUCUCGCUAAAAGAAGAAAUGAAGAAAAAAAAAAAAGAAAAAAUAGAAAAUGAAAAAGAGCUAAACGUCAGCCUUGAACAACGUCAUCGACGCUUGCAGCAACGGUUUUUAAAAUAAAAAAACACGGCACUUUUUAUCCCUUUACCCCACUCUACGCUUCAUAGAAGUAUUUACGCGAGCUGACUGGUUACAAUGUGACACAAGUGGUAUAAUAAAAGUGGCUAAUAAGCCGCGCCGGUUAUUACGAUUAUUAAUAUCGCGGAGCUAGAUCAUUAAAUCGCGAUAAUCGCGCGGAGCAAAACGAUCGCUGACUGAAAAGGAACAACUCGCGCUCGUUGCCUGUACACAAAGAGCAGAUACACGCGGUACCUGUAUUCUCCUCCCGUGCCAGACAUUCCCCCAUCCUUCCAUUCUAUUUUUCAACCUUCUUCAAUUCUUUUUCUCUUUCCUCUCUAUCCUCUCUAGCCAGUCGGAUGUUCCGAGAUAGUCGUUCUCCAUCUUCUGCCGCGUUCUACUAACGUCCACUCUUUUUUUUAAAGCUUCUACAACUUUUUUCCAUUGGCCUUUUCGGUCUUUUACUUUGUACGGUCGUACAGGAGAUUCGGAGGUUCGUUCACCUCGAACCUCGGUCGUCACAGACUCCUAUAGAAACGUGUACGCAUUGGUCGUGUGUAGACCGCGUCUAGCUAACCUGGAAUAACGCUUCUCCUAUCCGAGAUCGUGGCUCAGAGACCGGACUUUAAUUCGACAUUCCACGGAUCCCUCCACGCGGCGGCGGCGUUUCCUUGCACUUGGUUUCUCACCGCCUCGAAAAUUCUCCUCCGACUCCUGAACCGUUCCACGUUAUGCACUACCGUCGCACUGGAUGUCCUUGUACCGCCGCAAUUCCGUUUGCCUCGAUUAUGAUCCGUUCGCGGGUCGAUUACGUCAAAACGCGCUCUCGAGUAAACUCGUGGAUCGAAGCUGGAGGUUGACCGUGACGGAUUUUCCUAGUUGUCGGCCGUUUCGGGAUUUCCAUGACCGAUCGAUCGAUAUUAGUCAUCCGAUUGAUACAAGCAACACAACAGGAAACUCUCGUAACGAGCAACUCUCUCGAAUCUAUAUUCUGCAUUCAAAAUGUUCGAAUUUAAAUGUAAAUCGAAAAUUCGCGAAAUUACCGAGCCGAGCCGUGGAAUCAUCAGCUCGCAGGCAUCGCGGCAACCUUUCGCGGCGUCGUGUCGCGUAGGUGGUGAAUAAAAAACGCAACCUGCGGGAUAGUGGCUGCGUGGUGGGGUCUGCGAAAGAACGUUGGAGGGAGGUUUGAAAAGGCCAAUAUCGGCACGGUGGUAUCUGGUGACUCUGCCAGAGGUAAAUAGGCCAUGGCCGUCCUCGUGGUUGUCGUCGAUCGUCGUCGUGUGGUCGCUCGCGCAACACGAAAUUCCCUCGGAGCGGACGAGUAAACGUUCUCGCCUGGCUAAACGUCUCCUCUCUGAUGGUGUAUCUUAGACGAACGAUAUCACGAUUAUAGCAGCCAGGCAAUCAUCAUCGGGAUGUGUUCGAUGUGCAUCGAAGGUCUGGCCAGGCAACAAGCGGCAUAAUGCCAACCAGUGGCAUUUACGCCGGCAAGACCACCUUUGCCUCGACUCUCCUAUCUCUCUCUAUUUCACUUGACGGUUCUCUGUCCCACCAACGAUGUUCUUUCUUUUCUAUCCCUCUUCUUUCUCCUCUUCCCUCCCUACUUACGUUGCUGUAGUCAUUCUCUCGAUCUUUUUCCUUCUUUCUCUCCGUUUCGAUCGUGGUCGAGGUGCACGAGCUGCUGCUUCUUUAGCGUUCCAUUACCAGCGUUCUAUGGAAUGCAUCGGUCUCUCGCAACACCUACGAACCUGGAAUUCGCGGAAUCAGACAGAGUCUUUGGAUUUGAUACCGUUUUGGAGUAAACUUCUCUUUUCCCAUUUAAAACCGCAGUAGUUCGUUUAUUCUUGCGGAAUAGAUAGCGUAUUUUGAAAUCGGAUCACAGCUGUCGUCGUUUUAACGAAAUUUUGUUUUCGUCGCAAUAGCUUCUCUUGAUUUUUGGAUCACGGCCAAGAAUUGUUUCGAGUUCGUUCUAUUCACGCGGAUUUGGAUUCAUCCUAUUUAUUCAGAUUCGGGCUCAUCUCCUUUGCCGUGCUACGGACGCCGUGCUGGCGGACGUAUAACAAGGUAGGAGCAGCCGCAGGAAUUUCCUUCGGCCGGUAGUAAAAUCCUCUUCUACCUAAUUGUACGUGACUCAUCCGCAUAAUCUUGCUCCUUUCUAAUAAAAUCCCUGGACCAUGUUGCUCCGGGCUGCCCGAGAUUAAACUAUUUUUGUUUCAAGAGGGAAAUUUUUUAAGAAAUCUGAUCGUUCGAGAAGAACCAAACAACCAUCCAGGCAAGGAAGAAAAAACAGAAAAGUAUAAAAUAAAAAAGAAAGGAAGAAAAGAGAAUCGAAGCGAGUGUUGGUCAAUGUGGUCGAACUUCUCUCUUUCCGUCGGUAGUCGGUAGCUAGGUAUACGAAGUGAUCGCGUGGUGGUGCUGACCUAUGGUGGCAGAGAAGUAGCGGUGUGUCGCGUAGAACGGUGCCAGAGUGGUGGUGAGCGGCUCGCCUUGACGAGAAAAUCACGUGGCCGCGGGAAAUGACUUGUUAUAUAAACUAAUGAUUAUCCGGGUACUUGUGCAUUGCCGUGUGUCUAAACCAAUGAGUCCGGCACAGGUUGAUCAGCCCUCUGCUCCCUACAUAUGUACACACAAUAUCGAUAGUCCCUGUACGGUAAUCUGCAGGGUCCUCGAUUUUCUCUGGCGACCGGGACACAGACCGCAUGCACAGCUCAUUAUCACGGCAGCUCAUUUAACUUACGGCCAACAGAUAACACGCGAGAUAACGGAUAACGCCCCCGAGACGCCGCUCUAAUAAUAAUAUAUGAGGCAAGCAGGCGUUGCGGCCACCUCGAUCGUUCCCGAGCAGGAAAUUCAGUCGGCAGAUAAGGCCCAAGGAGAUCGAGAUGUCACGUUGGAACGCGAGAUUCAUCGUCCCGCAGCUCGUGCAACUUUACUUCCUCGCACUUUGAAUAUGCAAACAGCCUGUUGAAUGUUACCGGCAUCGGGAACCGAUUGUCAGCCAUUCGUUUUAUAAUCCAAAACACGUAGUGUUAAUGUCUCGUCGAUUUUGAAACGAGAAUUUCAACCUUCGUUCGUUUUUUAUAUAAAUUUGAGACGAUGCGAUAAAUGUAAAAAACAAAACGCUUGCGAAAACAUAUAAAUUUAUAUAAUAAACGAACGUAUAGGAAUUUAGUUUCGCUUUAAUUUCCAAUCUUUAGUAAAAAUAUCCGAAACUUUGAUUAUCCUUCUAUUUAUUUUUUAUUGUAUAUAAAUUUUUUUUAUAGUUAUGUUAAUUCAAUACGUAGGGCAAAUUAAGUUAAGAAAAUGAGGGACGGACGAUAGUUAAGGGACCUUGACUCGUUGCCUUCGAACGGGAGAUCGUUAACUGCGGAUAGAACGAAUGACACCUUUCGAUUAGAUCGUGGAUUAACGAUCUCACACUCGAUGUUGAUUGGCUUUCAAUCUGCUAGGAAUUAACUUCUGUUACGAAACUACUAUUAAAUCUACAUUAGUCGGUACGAAGAUCUAGACAUACAAUGUCUUUCAUAUUUUUUCAAUAAAUUGUCUUCGCAACAUAAAAUAAAGUUUUAACGAAACAACACCUACAAACCUAAGCCUUGAGACAUCGGUAAAAUGCAUAGUAGCUAAUCACCAUAUCGAAGAGGAGAAAUGAGCUCGUAUGGGGAAAAUCGGCGGCGUAUUCGCGGGCAUAGAACGAUCGAGAUAUCGGGUAGGCCAUGGAAGUAGGUCAACGUCGUGUGGGCAAGACGGAGAACCAAGUUCAGGGGCGAACUGCAGCGCCGUGCCCGAAGCACACGGACUCUCCUGGUGGCUUAGGUUAGGUCUUCUCACUCGUUCUUUCUCCAACGUGCAUACCUCCCUCUCGAGAAGGAGGCGCAACGCGCACGCGGACACGAUGGAGCGAACAGAGACGGCGGAGGCGGUCUAACGGACUUCUCUGGUCUGCCUAGUUUUAUUUUUCCACUGGACCCGGAGCGUGUGGCCAUUCGUUCCGUUCCUCUCUCGCACUCGUCCUCGCACACCACCACCCGGUUGGAUACACUUCUACAAGCGGCUGCCGCCGUCGAAGAGGGAGAGAGUGGCGUUUCACGACAUCGUUCUCGUUUUCUCUUUCUCCCCCUUGAAACGAUCUUGGCCUAGGCGCUUUCUCCGUGGCGAGAAAAAAGGGGACGAUCCCUACAAGUAACGUUUUCGGAUGAACUUGGCCCAGAAAUGGCCCCCAGUGGAAAGUGCAAGUGAAACCUCUCUCUCGAAAGAGAGAGCCGUCUAUCGCUUCAUCUUCCACUUCCAUUUGUUCCUCUAACGUAGUCACAUUUCACGUUCUAUCCAGCGAACUCUAUGAGUUCCUCGAUACGAUCGAUUGUUCCGCGUGAACGUGAACUCGCUCCAUUUCCUUUCUUCAUCUUCAUUGCCGUAAGAUCGUUCUUAGUAAAUUGCCUAAGGCGAGAGAAUCGUUAGCUCUCAGGAUUACUCACGGUAUCUUUUCCUAUGACCGUUUCUACGAAUCCGAUCCAUGCGCAGAUCGAAUGGACAAAAAGACGGAGUUCUGACGUCGCGACCUCGGCGAAAUCGUCGCGAAGGCCGUUCGACACGGUUCGCGCAGCUGGUUCGCAACUGGACGCCGGAAGAUAUAUUGUAUCGAUUAGCAAUAAAACGCGCACACCGUUCGCGAAUAAACGGCACAGACAACUAGGUUGCUAGGUAGGUGGGUGAAGUAGGUAGAACGUAGGUAGCCGGUAACGCGUCACUCGUCUCUCUGUUCCGCAGCCCUGUGUAUAUAGAGACCAGCAACAACGUCACUGCCGUCCGAGGAAUCCGGAUCGUUGCGCGAUCGAACCGAGCUCGCGACCGCGAUCCAUGCCCCUCGAUAGAAGCAAGGAACACAAGAAUGGAAGCUUCGCACUGCCAUGGACAUCAGUCACCUAGUCGCUGCUGCUCUUCGUUCGUCGUUUGUCGAGCAAGCAAGUGAGCGCGAGGACUGGAUGCGUUUAAACCGUCGAAUCUCGCCGUUGCACCCGGCGGUCUGCAGGGUUGUCCGUUUCGACGCGCGUUCGUUUAACUUUCAGCCGCCCUUUCAUUUAUAGCGCAGGCGACCUUGAAAAUGUUACUAUUUUUUUUAUUACUAUUAUUAUAAUUAUUUAAAUCGUAAUAUUAAGGGGCACUAAGGCACCGUUAUAAAUAAUAUAAAUAUAUAUAAUAUAAAUAUGUACAUGUAUGAAAACGUAGGUGCGGACGAAGGAUCCUAAAACACAAUGACUGCGAACUUCCGCAUCCCGUAUCUCUGCUACCGCUGGAAAAUUGUUGUCAUUACUCUCCGAUAGUUACUUGGUUACUGUAAAGACACACUACAUACCCACACAUACAGAUACACCAACAGACGCGUUCAAGUACACGCGAUGUACUUACACACACACAUACACACACACACAGAAGCAUACACUGGCCGUACAAACACCAGGACUAAACGUGUAUCCAGUUGAAUUUACUAAACGUUCGUCGGCUUGUUCGGCGGGUAACGUGUAUCCAGUCUGAUUGCAUUUAAAAGCAGAGUAGAACGUGGCCAAGCACGUUUUAGUAAAUUCAAUGAAAAAUGUUGUUCUUUCCGUAUGUUACUGCUAUUACCACCGCUAUUACUACCGCCACUAUAUCGUCGCCUGUUACACCGCAAUUACGCGCUACCAGUAUACUACUUAUUCGCCGAUAUAGCCGUUA